rnacentral:rRNA from 1 species
GUUGGUGAACCAGCGGAGGGAUCAUUACCGAGUUAUCCAACUCCCAACCCCUGUGAAUUAUACCUUUAAUUGUUGCUUCGGCGGGACUUCGCGCCCGCCGGGGACCCAAACCUUCUGAAUUUUUUAAUAAGUAUCUUCUGAGUGGUUAAAAAAAAAUGAAUCAAAACUUUCAACAACGGAUCUCUUGGUUCUGGCAUCGAUGAAGAACGCAGCGAAAUGCGAUAAGUAAUGUGAAUUGCAGAAUUCAGUGAAUCAUCGAAUCUUUGAACGCACAUUGCGCCCGUCAGUAUUCUGGCGGGCAUGCCUGUUCGAGCGUCAUUACGCCCCUCAAGUCCCCUGCGGACUUGGUGUUGGGGAUCGGCGAGGCUGGUUUUCCAGCACAGCCGUCCCUUAAAUUAAUUGGCGGUCUCGCCGUGGCCCUCCUCUGCGCAGUAGUAAAGCACUCGCAACAGGAGCCCGGCGCGGUCCACUGCCGUAAAACCCCCCAACUUUUUAUAGUUGACCUCGAAUCAGGUAGGACU